CAGCAUUUGUGAACUGGACAAUUCACAGAGGAUGAGGUGGAGGUGUUACAAGGUGGGGGGCCCCCGGCAAGUGGCUAAAACUGCCCCAAAAAGAAAUGAACACAGCAACAGAAACAAGGGAGACCAGGGCCGUGCCAUUCCUGAGCUCAGAACUCCAGCGACCCCUGAGAACCCGACCUGGGAUACCUGAUGCAUUGUCCUGAGCCUUGCUAUAGGGCAAAAUCUUCUGGUGCGGUCCAGGAGAUCAUCAGCUCUCGGCAGAAGGGGCCAAAUACGAUGAAGAGUAAUCAGGUGAUGAGGAGAAUGGAGAGCUUGUCACCUGAGGAAUGGCCAGCCAAGGGACUCAGCACGCUGAGCCCAGACCAGAGAAGGCUCAGGGAAGAUGUGAGAGCUUCCACUGGGUCAUGCUUAAGCUCCAUGCACAGGACCAAAUGGUGAAAGAUGCAGGGAAUACUAUUUCAGUUUGGGUUUAAAAAGUA